rnacentral:rRNA from 1 species
GACAGAGGUCCCGAGCGUUAGGCGGAAUCACUGGGCUUAAAGCGUGUGUAGGCGGAUUGCUAAGUACCUUGUGAAAUCCCACGGCUUAACCGUGGAACUGCUUGGUAUACUGGCUGUCUUGAGCCACUUAGGGGCAACCGGAACAAACGGUGGAGCGGUGAAAUGCGUAGAUAUCGUUUGGAACGCCAAUGGUGAAAACAGGUUGCUGGGAGUGUGCUGACGCUGAGACACGAAAGCCAGGGGAGCAAACGGG